rnacentral:sRNA from 1 species
UUCGAGAGGUGGUCCAAGCCUACGUGAGA